rnacentral:rRNA from 1 species
UACGUAGGGGGCAAGCGUUGUCCGGAAUCAUUGGGCGUAAAGAGCGUGUAGGCGGCUCGAUAAGUCCGCUGUGAAAGUCCAGGGCUCAACCCUGGAAGGCCGGUGGAAACUGUCGGGCUAGAGUCCGGAAGAGGCGAGUGGAAUUCCCGGUGUAGCGGUGAAAUGCGCAGAUAUCAGGAGGAACACCGAUGGCGAAGGCAGGUCUCUGGGCCACUACUGACGCUGAGAAGCGAAAGCAUGGGGAGCGAACAGG